GGGUUGUCAGUCCGAUCUCGCGAGAGAGGACGGAAGCCUGUGGGAGUCCGUGGCCUUUAAAGUGCCGUUCAGCCUUUUCGUCCAGGGGUGGUUUGUAAACACGGCUGUGCUCGGGGCUCGCAGGUGACCGAAAGGAUCAUGAACUAUUGACCUGGAAAGGAUACUAGAUGGAAACUUGAGAAAGGACUGCUUACUUGAUUAGACCUAAGGCAUUCCUGGAAGCAGAGUAAAUAAAACUCAUGGCCCACCAGCUAGAAAGUAUUCUUGCCAUGAGAAAAAGAAUGUGAUAAGUUAUUCAACUUAUGAAAUUCAAGUUACAUGUGAAUUCUGCCAGGCAAUACAAGGACCUGUGGAAUAUGAGUGAUGACAAACCCUUUCUAUGCACUGCGCCUGGAUGUGGCCAGCGUUUUACCAACGAGGAUCAUUUGGCUGUCCAUAAACAUAAACAUGAGAUGACACUGAAAUUUGGUCCAGCACGUAAUGACAGUGUCAUUGUGGCUGAUCAGACCCCAACACCAACCAGAUUCUUGAAAAACUGUGAAGAAGUGGGUUUGUUUAAUGAGUUGGCAAGUCCAUUUGAGAAUGAAUUCAAGAAAGCUUCAGAAGACGACAUUAAAAAAAUGCCUCUAGAUUUAUCCCCUCUUGCAACACCUAUCAUAAGAAGCAAAAUUGAGGAACCUUCUGUUGUAGAAACAACUCACCAGGAUAGUCCUUUACCUCACCCAGAGUCUACUACCAGUGAUGAGAAGGAAGUACCAUUGGCACAAACUGCACAGCCCACAUCAGCUAUUGUUCGUCCAGCAUCAUUACAGGUUCCCAAUGUGCUGCUUACAAGUUCUGACUCAAGUGUAAUUAUUCAGCAGGCAGUACCUUCACCAACCUCAAGUACCGUAAUCACCCAGGCACCAUCCUCUAACAGGCCAAUUGUCCCUGUACCAGGCCCAUUUCCUCUUCUGUUACAUCUUCCUAAUGGACAAACCAUGCCUGUUGCUAUUCCUGCAUCAAUUACAAGUUCUAAUGUGCAUGUUCCAGCUGCAGUCCCACUUGUUCGACCAGUCACCAUGGUGCCUAGUGUUCCAGGAAUCCCGGGUCCUUCCUCUCCCCAACCAGUACAGUCGGAAGCAAAAAUGAGAUUAAAAGCUGCUUUGACCCAGCAACAUCCUCCAGUUACCAAUGGUGAUACUGUCAAAGGUCAUGGUAGUGGAUUGGUUAGGACUCAGUCAGAGGAAUCUCGACCACAGUCAUUACAACAGCCAGCCACAUCCACUACAGAGACUCCGGCUUCUCCAGCUCACACAACUCCACAGACCCAAAGUACAAGUGGUCGUCGGAGAAGAGCAGCUAACGAAGAUCCUGAUGAAAAAAGGAGAAAGUUUUUAGAGCGAAAUAGAGCAGCCGCUUCAAGAUGCCGACAAAAAAGGAAAGUCUGGGUUCAGUCUUUAGAGAAGAAAGCAGAAGACUUGAGUUCAUUAAAUGGUCAGCUGCAGUGAAUAUAUUGCUCGUGAAAGGUGCCAGAUUGACAGCUUUGGAAACUGAAGGACUCUAAUUAUCCACAGACCAGAGUGAAGUCACCCUGCUGAGAAAUGAAGUGGCACAGCUGAAACAGCUUCUUCUGGCUCAUAAAGAUUGCCCUGUAACCGCCAUGCAGAAGAAAUCUGGCUAUCAUACUGCUGAUAAAGAUGAUAGUUCAGAAGACAUUUCAGUGCCGAGUAGUCCACAUACAGAAGCUAUACAGCAUAGUUCGGUCAGCACAUCCAACGGAGUCAGUUCAACCUCCAAGGCAGAAGCUGUAGCCACUUCAGUCCUCACCCAGAUGGCGGACCAGAGUACAGAGCCUGCUCUUUCACAGAUCGUUAUGGCUCCUUCCUCCCAGUCACAGCCCUCAGGAAGUUGAUUAAAAACCUGCAGUACGACAGUUUUAGAUACUCAUUAGUGACUUCAAAGGGAAAUCAAGGAAAGACCAGUUUCCAUUUAUGCGAAAUCUGUGGUUGUAAAUUUUUUUUUAUUUACUUGAAAUUAAAUUUGGCUCUAAAGUUGGUGUAGCAGCAGUUGAUCAGACUGAAAAACAGUUUUUAGUCUCUGGAAAAAGACUGAUUUUGCUUUUUUUAUAAAUAUUAGUAGAUUUAUUAAUUUUUCUGUGCUCAAUGUGUAAAUUGUAUUAUAAUUCAUUGUGGUUUAUUUCACUUUUAAUUUGUUGGUGUUUUAAUAAAUGGGGGUGUUACUGAAUCUUUCUUCCCACUUCCAUUUCUUUUGACCACCCCUUAACCCUCAACUGUGAUGGUAGUAGUAUUAUCAUUUAUACCAAAGUUUUGCAUAGUCCCUGUUGACUUUGUAAUGUUAACGGAGUCAUAAAAGCACUAGGCAAGAGAAAGAUAGAAAUUUGCUUUUAAUCUUUUUGCCUUUUAUUUUGCACAUUAUGCAAAAGGAAAAACAUUAAAGAACACUUUUUUUUAAGUGAGUGAAAACAUGGUAAAGACAUACGGUGCUUUUAUGCACAUUGUUAAGCUAAAUCAAGGUCAUUUAUAAUCAUUUUCCUUUUUUAUUUAAGGUUUUAAGUAAACAAAUUUUAGAAUUUUCAGCAUUUCAAAAAUGAUUUUAUUUUUCAAGUCUUAAAUUCAAUAUUUUACACGUAUGUUUUGAGGCUAAAAAAUAUGAAAUUAUAUAAUGUAUGAUACAGGGUUAUCAAAUAUCUAAUAAUUUUUGAAAUUAGCUCUUGUUUUUGGUUUUUUUGUUGUUGUUUUUACAGAUUUCAGGUUACAAACUGCAAAGUUUAUGCAUAAUUAAGUAUGGUAUGGUUGCCAGAAAAGCCUAAAAUUACUACUUAGAAAAUUUAAAACUGUUUACCCCCAUUGUCUUGUACUUGCGAGCUAACUUGUACUUAUUCUUGUGAAAGCACUGUCAUCUUUUAGUAGCAAAUUUUGAUAAUGUUUCUCGUGGAAAAAAAGUCAGUAUCUAUCUUUAGAACAAUGUAAUUAUAAUGUGGGAAGCGUGCAUGAAUGAGAGAGAGUGUGUGUAUCUGUGUGUGCGAGCGUGCGUGUGUGUGUGUGUGUCUUUCAGUAGUUUAUGCCAGCAAUCUUUGCUUGAAUGUUUAACGAUGCCUUCAGUGUGAUGCUGGCCAAUAGAUGAUUGCAGUUUAAAAUGUCAUUGUGCAGGCUUGGAUAACUAACAUUCCAUGAUGUAGCUUGUUUCUGAUGAGAUGAUUGUAGGUACACUUUUCUCAUUAUCCAAUCAUCUGUGGGAUACUUAGUUUUCUAAUGUGCCAUUAUCUAUUUUUAUUCUGCAGUUAUGUUCAAAAUACAGUACAUAUUUUAAAAUAGAAUAAAUUGUUAAACAUAAAAUUUUAAAAGUAGUAGAUGUGCGUAAGAAAACUUUGUAAAAUAGUUAUGAGUCCUACCCAGUAGCAACUUCUGGCAUUCAAGCAGGAUUCCACUAUGUAAAUAUCUGUAAUGCAUUUAUAAUAAGUUGUGUAGUUUGUCCUGCAUCCAUACUACACUAUUUGCUAAAGUCUCAGUGCCAUCUCUUAAUGAGACUGACAUUUUAAAAGUCUGUAUGGAAUAUCCUUGAUAAUUCAAGGAAAUAUCCCACCUGCCUAAGUUCCAAACUGGGAAACAUUCAGAUUAUAUAUAAAUGACAUUUCAGGACUUUAAGUAUGAAGAUAAUGGGAAUUUUAUUGUUUAGCUUAUUAUAAUGAGAGCAUUUUUAUUUGAUAAUUCUUAAAUUUUCAAUUUUCAACAAAUUUCAUUAUUUUAAAGUAAUCAGUUUCAAAUCAUGAUUUUGAUAUCAUUAUUCUAAGGAGUUAUCUCAAAGGCACAAAAUACGAAUUCUGCAAGAAGGGUAUUUUUUAUUGUAGUUUGAAUAGGUUAGGAAAAGCCUCAAUUUUUCACUCUAAGUCCGUCAGUACAUUUUUCUUUCAUCUUAUUACUUAUGCAAGUUAAGGUUCUUUGGUAACAGAAUUCUUGCAACUGUAAAAUAAAACUACAUAGAUGUAAGAAGUCAUGUAAACGGUUAACAAGCUUACCAAGGUUAGCAAAACUUUCAUUGUAAAUCAGUCUGUACUGAGCAAAUAUAAAAAUCAUUAUUAGUGUAUAAACACAAAUUCCAUUUUGACUUUCAGGAUGUCAUACUACUUCUGUACCUAGCAUUUUCAGUCCUUAUAUUUGCAAUGUUACACAAACUGUACUAUUUUCUUUUAUGUGCAGUUUGCAUGAGUAAACCAUCAGAGAAUAAAUUCUAUCUUUAAAUUAUGUUCAUAA